AUCGCCCUGUGGUGUUCGAUUUGUUGCAAUCUUUUAUAAUCCUACAAGUAUGUAAUUUGGAGGGCCUCCUCCCGCUGCCUAUUGCAGACCUCCCCCUUUUGGGGACGCAGGGAGCGUGCGGCUGCGGGGGGGUCAUAUCCACCCUGUCUUUAAGAUGGGUUUUAACUUGAUUGCAGACGGCACGAUGGGGCAUUU
rnacentral:other from 1 species